rnacentral:rRNA from 1 species
UAACACAUGCAAGUCGAGGGCGAGCAUAAAAGUAGCAAUACUUGGUGGCGACCGGCGCACGGGUGAGUAACGCGUAUGCAACCUACCUAUCAGAGGGGAAUAACCCGGCGAAAGUCGGACUAAUACCGCAUAAAACAGGGGCACCGCAUGGUGAUAUUUGUUAAAGAAAUUCGCUGAUAGAUGGGCAUGCGUUCCAUUAGGUAGUUGGUGAGGUAACGGCUCACCAAGCCGACGAUGGAUAGGGGAACUGAGAGGUUGGUCCCCCACACUGGUACUGAGACACGGACCAGACUCCUACGGGAGGCAGCAGUGAGGAAUAUUGGUCAAUGGGCGGGAGCCUGAACCAGCCAAGUCGCCGUGAAGGAAGAAGGAUCUAUGGUUCGUAAACUUCUUUUGCAGGGGAAUAAAGUGCAGGACGUGUCCUGUUUUGUAUGUACCCUGAGAAUAAGGAUCGGCUAACUCCGUGCCAGCCGCCGC